AUUGAACGCUGGCGGCAUGCCUUACACAUGCAAGUCGAACGGUAACGGGCCUUCGGGUGCCGACGAGUGGCGAACGGGUGAGUAAUGCAUCGGAACGUACCUUUCAGUGGGGGAUAACGUAGCGAAAGUUACGCUAAUACCGCAUAUUCUGUGAGCAGGAAAGCAGGGGAUCGCAAGACCUUGCGCUGAUUGAGCGGCCGAUGUCAGAUUAGCUAGUUGGUGAGGUAAAGGCUCACCAAGGCGACGAUCUGUAGCGGGUCUGAGAGGAUGAUCCGCCACACUGGAACUGAGACACGGUCCAGACUCCUACGGGAGGCAGCAGUGGGGAAUUUUGGACAAUGGGGGCAACCCUGAUCCAGCCAUGCCGCGUGAGUGAAGAAGGCCUCGGGUUGUAAA
rnacentral:rRNA from 1 species